rnacentral:lncRNA from 1 species
CACGAUAACUCACCAUAAAAAGAUAAUUUGAUAUUUUCAUCAAAUUUUAAAUCUUUUAGAUAGUCAUGAUACAUUGCUAGACAUCAAUCUUAACUUAUGGACUCAUCAGAAUUAAAAGAGUUUAAUUCAAGAAUCAAUUAAGAAGAGUCCUAGUUGAUUGGGACUCUCGAACUGACUUAAUCCAAUCGGAUUAGGGUUACGUCAAGAGUUUGGAUCUACUGCUGGCU